GGGCAACCAUCGCCGAGUCCCCGUACGGCGCGAGCCAGGGGAGCCGGGGACCCACAUGUCCCUGGGGUGAAUCGGGUCCCUUUCCGGAGGGAGCCGUAGGAGACCUUCCUGCUCCGAACCCGUCAGCUAACCCGGUAGGCGAGAAGGAAGGAAAGG
rnacentral:sRNA from 1 species